rfam:Vigna angularis cultivar Jingnong 6 C2793629_1, whole genome shotgun sequence.
CAACUAGCCCCGAAAAUGGAUGGCGCUAAAGCGCGCGACCUAUACCCGGCCAUCGGGGCAAGGACCAAGCCCCGAUGAGUAGGAGGGUGCGGCGGUCGCUGCAAAACCCAGGGCGUGAGCUCGGGACGGGGGAAGCCCGUCUGAUAGCGCUU